UACCAUGAAGAGUUCCCCCAUGCAAUGCAUAGCCAUCAUUUCAUAUAUUUUCUGAACAGCAAUUAUUCGUAUGGCUUUUCAAAAUUGAAAGGAUGACAUCCUUAUGCUUUCCAUGCAGGACAGAAAAUGUGAAAAACAUACAGUAUGUUGUCUUCAAUGGAGUAGUAAAAUGAAGCUUGGAUUAAAACUUGCUCCACUGUGGAAAAAAUAUAUUUCCUUUUCCAGACUCUGCAGACAGAAAGCAAAACCGUUACAGACAUUGUCCUACCUUGUUCUGACUGCAGAUUCAAGAAUCAUCACAUCCACAGCUGGAACGGAAGCUGUAGGAAGGGAUCAGCAGAGCUGCUAACUCAUAUUUGCUGUACAAGAACUCGUGGAAAUCCUGCCCUGUCAAAACCUGUGGCUACUCAUCAUCCCUAAGAAAACAUGGAAUCAUGGUUAGCUCUGAAGAGGUGAGGCAGUUGGACUCCAUGAUCACUGAAGUUCCUUCCCAACCAAACCAUUCCAUUCCGUUCUGUUCCACUCUAUUUCAUGUUGUCUACAUGAACCUUUUAAACUUUAGACUACUGUAACCUUCAUGUGUUGUCCUCUCUCAGGCUGAAUAAAUGUCAAAUGGUACAUUCUGUCCCA